CAGUCGCCGCGGUAAUACGUAGGGCGCAAGCGUUAUCCGGAAUUAUUGGGCGUAAAGAGCUCGUAGGCGGUUUGUCGCGUCUGCCGUGAAAGUCCGGGGCUCAACCCCGGAUCUGCGGUGGGUACGGGCAGACUAGAGUGAUGUAGGGGAGACUGGAAUUCCUGGUGUAGCGGUGAAAUGCGCAGAUAUCAGGAGGAACACCGAUGGCGAAGGCAGGUCUCCGGGCAUUAACUGACGCUGAGGAGCGAAAGCAUGGGGAGCGAACAGGAUUAGAUACCCGCGUAGUCCCUGUCUCUUAUAA
rnacentral:rRNA from 1 species